rnacentral:rRNA from 1 species
GACGUAGGGCGCGAGCGUUGUCCGGAUUUAUUGGGCGUAAAGAGCUCGUAGGCGGCUUGUCGCGUCGGCCGUGAAAACCUGCAGCUCAACUGCAGGCUUGCGGUCGAUACGGGCAGGCUAGAGUUCGGUAGGGGAGACUGGAAUUCCUGGUGUAGCGGUGGAAUGCGCAGAUAUCGGAAGGAAGACCAGUGGCGAAGGCGGAUCUCUGGACAGCUCCUGACGCUGAGGCGCGAAGGCUAGGGGAGCAAACGGG